UGAGCCCUGGCCAACAUUUCUGGGUUCCAAAGGUACGGUGCCUUGAUCUGGAUGGCAGAAGGAACGCAUUUCCUUGGCCUCCGGGAUCUCACUGAAUUCAUCUAUAGUAAAGAGAAGGAAUGUCUGUGCAUAUGAGUUUCUAAUGAUAUGAAGACGGAGGUAUGUUUGUGGAUGAAGUCAAGAAAGCAGUAGUCUCUGCCCAGAAUACGCCAGCAAGCGACCACGAUGGUGUGCACCGUCUCCCAGCUGAAACACAUGAGAGAGCCCAGGCGUGGAGUGAGCAGGUGCAUCGGAUCGGCUUCCACCUGCCAAUCUUAUGCUGCAGGCUUCAGUGAUCCUACCCCCAUCUCUUCUUUUCCACCGGGAAAGACCCCUGAUGUCCCGAUGUUUUCUGACAGAGAAGUGCUGCAGAGCGGUAGGGAAAGCAGGCCCGGCCUCUGUGCACAAACCCUCGUCCCCAUUUCCUGGCAUUGCUCCUCCACCUCCCUGUGCCUCCGUGUCCACAUCUGUGAAAUGGGGAAACAGCCACAGGGCAACUGUAAGGGUUAAGUGAGCUAAUACAGGCAGAGCAUUUUAAAAAGUUUCCCAUGCAUGAUACGUGUUCGAUAAAUGUGACCUAACAUUGGUCUGUGUCUUUCAUUGUAUGACAUCUUUCAUUGUAUGACAUCCUCAAAAAAUAGGAUUAUUCCUAGUUUUCAGAUGGAACAUUAAAUGACUUGCAAAGCCUAGUAAAUGAUAGAGACAGGACAUAAGCCACGUUUGCUUCCCAAUUCCUCCUCCUCCUGUCUUCCCUGCCACCCCAUGCCACUGUGCUGAUGUAACUUACCAGUUAGAAAUCAUCCCCAUACAGCACUAAUUCAACUAGGUUUACAUUACAAAUGUUCCGUCUACCCAUAGGACGAGCCGUCCCCUUUCCCCCAUGGUUUAGUUUUGUUUUUGGAUUUUUUUUAUUUAUUUAUUUUUUUGCCAAUGAAUGUUUAUGCGUGAAUUUGGGGGCUGAGAAGCAAUACGAAAAGCUAGCUAGCUCUAAUGAUCUUGAAAGUAAACCUGAUUUCGUCUUCACCCUAUGACUUGGUGGUAUGGUCGGUGGAGGAAGGAUUGGGGGGACAUAGAGAGCUCAUAGUGGGCCCUGGCUGGAAUGGGCCCCCAGUCUCCUGGGAAGGCAAAUCCAGAAAGCCAAUGCUACUAAAAGCAGCCAGAAACAUUGGUGGAUGCCCUUCGGUUACCUGCUUCUUGUAGGAGCCAAAGUGUUCUCUACCCACUGCCCAGACCUUGUCCCCACCCUGAGCACAAGGAACCUUAUUCUCGAAGGGUCUAGAAGGUAGAGAAGGAACGGGCAUCAAGGAGGUGUGUUUGCUGGGAGGAGAAGGAGCAUUAGGAAGGUUCUCCAGGGGCUUGAGAUUGUCUCUAACAGAGGCAGCCAGGCACUGAAGGACGGACGGGCGGGGCCCUAGAAGGAGGAGAGCUGACUGGGCAGGAAGGAGAAAUGCCCGAGGCUCUGAGGGCCGGUCACUGAGGAAGCAGGGGAAUGUGGCCUCCUUUCUUUUAUUUUUAAAUCACCCCAAAUGAGGCUUUCUUAGAAAAGCAGUUUCAACUCCCAAAACGCCAGUCAGGCGGUGGUCUCCUGGGCCCCUUUGAAGGGGGAUGGUGAGUUCAUUCAGCUUUGCGUGUGUUCACUGGGUCACCCAGUAAACCUCCACCAAGCACAUCCGAUGCACCAGGGGGUCCGCCAGGCUCUGAGGACAGGCUGGUGGCAGAAGCCAGCGAUGCCCCUGCUGUCCUAGGGGACAUGAGCAGUAAACAGCAGUCAACUGUGUUCAUAAACAAGGAGAUGAACAGAGGGCGGGAGACCGAAUCCUGGGGUGCACCUUCAGGCCGGGGUCCGGGGCAGUUCAGAAAUGGUCUUAGAGAGGAGCAGGACAGUGGGAGUGCAGAGAUCAGCAGGCAUGUGGGGGCAGAGGAGGAAGGGGCUCACCAGGGCACAAGCCUGAAGUGCAGUGAGCAAGGAGCAGUGAGGCCAGCUGGGGUUCUUAGAGGAGAACAGGUUGGGUAGGCCUGGACGCGUUUAGAUUUUAUUCUGAGGGUCUUUGGAAAUCCACUUGGACAUCUGCCUUUGUGUCUAAUGAAGCUUCAUCCCCAGCCAGGUCCAAGUGGCGCUUUCUAAAGCAUUUAGGUUCAAGUGAUAUCUUUGCAUCGUCCACUCUGUCCCCUGAAGACCCGGACUGCAUAUUUGGGAGACAGCUAAGGAUCAAGGGUCAGGUUGAACUCGCAUGCUUUUCUCUUGAGUGGCUCAGUGCCUUAGCCAAUAUCAAAGCCACCAGGGAGCUUUGUCAACACACAGAUAGCUUCCAGGGCCCCGCCUCAGACCUCCUGCAUCAGAAUCCCAGGGCAGGAGCGAGCCAGACCUCAGAUGACUUUGCUGCUGCCCGGAGCGGAGCCUCCCUGCCUUAAAAAGCUCCAAACUGCCUCUUGAGUCUCAUAAAACCCCACUCACGCUUAGGCAAAGAGAGGGAGCUUCCCCCUGUUGAUAAGACUGAAAGCAUUCCUCGCCUGCCCCGUUUACCUGUCUCAGGUCUCCUAGGAAAGCAAACCUGCCCUUUUGUCAAUAUUUGCUCUGUCUGCUGCCCUCCACGGUAGAAGGGAAAAGCGUUUUCACUGUCAAGCUGGUGUUUAUACAGGGGAUUUGUAGACUUUCCCAGAGCUGCGGAAAAUCCAUCACCCCUGGUCACCUGUGCCCUUGAUGAGGUGACGGCUUUUCUGCCACCAUGCUACCCUGUCCAUCAGGAUGAUGGUAUGUGGCCUGUCAACUCACAAACAUUCAGGUUGGAAACUGCUUUACACAGGAGCCUGGGGAGACUGAUGCUUGGAGAGCAACCCAAUCUCAGAGGGCGAAGCAUGCCCUACUGAUGAUUCUGGAAGGCAAGGGGUGGGGGUCUCCACCCGAGACCAGUCAGGGAACCACUGGCAAAUGCCAGACACUUAGAUGGAGCCAAUACACCCUGGCCCUUGGAAAGCUUACCGGCCUGUAGCAUUUGUUCCAAGCAGUCAAUAGGAGCCCCGGUAUUGCUUCCAGCGGCUGGCUCUGAGGCUGGUGAGCCAAAAGAAAUUGGGGCCUCGGUUGCUGGAACCAAGCAUUGCUUGCAAGGCGCACGUGCCUGAGAGGCAGCUGGGCUGUGCUCCCAGGGAUGAGCACGUUCCCGUCUAGAACACUGCUCUGCUUCUGUUGGGCUCCUGUCUGUCAUCGUCACCCCAGGGCCAGCUCUGGACAUCCAAGCCACCUGAGACAGACACGCUGAAAAGCUGUUUGCCAUCUUUUGUCAUUUGGAAGAGCCUUUGGGGUUUAGGGGUCCAUCAAAGGGGCAGAAAGCAGGUGACAUCUGAGCGGAAGCUGCAGGAGCCACAUCUGCUCUGCCAGAUGUGCUGUCCAGCCACGCUCCAGCUCCCACUGCGGGCCCAGCACCGAGAGGGAAACCAAGGCUGCAAAGCAUCAGAAAACCCUCAGCGGACUUGCUGCAGCCUUUGGAGGGAUUCAGACCCCUCCAUAGAAGAAUGAGUGCAGAGAAUGGAGGAGGGAAGCUCUCUGUGGGAGGAAAAAUCAAUAAUCCCAUGGAGACAAUGACAGUAAUAGAUGUCACUGACUGUGCCUUUAUGAAUGUGAACUACAGAUUUUAACUGAUUGCACAUUCCCCUUUCUGAGAUAGCCCCUGUUAUCUUUACAAAGGAACAAGCCCAGGAUGCACACCAGAGAGGUGUCCUUAGACUCGGAAUAUCAUGGACCUGGAACGUGCUUAAAACGGUCCUAGCGUGCAGCAGGUGUCUACAAAGUACGAGGCUUACAAUCUUUACUACCGUGCUCCAACUUUUGUGAUUUUACUUUUGCAGAUGAUGAAACAGGCUUGGAGAUGCUCAUGGGAUUGACCAAAAAAAAAAAAAAAAAAAAAAAAUCACACGGCCAGAGCAAGAGCAGCACCAAACCUAGGUCUUCCCGGCUCUAGAGAUGGAGUGUUCCCUGCCAGGCUGCGGAGGCUGGCCUUGCUCUGACCGUGGGGUCUGACAGCCUCAAUUCCUCAGGAGUCUGAGGCCAGCAUCACGUAGCUCUCAGCGCCUCGGCAGCCAGCGGGGUCCUGCCACCCUGCAGUUCUCCCCCUCUGCCUCGCACAGAGUCAGCUGUCCCCACGAGCUGUCCCCAGAGCCCCUACUUCUGGUAUCAGCUUUUCCCAGGACCUGACCUCCAGGCUACUGUCAGGGCGGCUGCAGUGCAGGGCUCAUCUCGUCCCCUGCAGGCUCUUUGCCCAUCCUUGUAGAGCAAAUGAGAUCCCUCACUUCCUGGAAAUGAGCUUGCAGCCUCCCAGAGACCCCCGGGUGGGUACCCGGCGGGGCCUCCCCAAGCAGUACCGUGAUCCUGACUUUGAGAAAUCCCUGUGGGAGGGAAACCUAUUCAGCUCUCUCACUGCUCACUUCCCAAAUAGUAUCAGGCUAGGACAUGAGUUUUCUUCUUGUGGCUAGAAAUGACACACAGAUUACUCUUAAAUUCCGGAUGACGGGAAUCCAGUCUUGUGGGGCUCAGAUGGAAGAGUCGGCCAUUUCCUUCCAGAGGCUCCCAAGAUGUCAUUCCCUGCCUCUUCUAACUUCUUGAGGUCACCUACAGCCCAUGCCGGGUGGCCACAUUGCUCCAAUCUCUGUCCAUUGUUCCUCCUCCUCUGCCUCUGACAUCCCUGCCUCCUCUUAUAGACCCCUGUGAUUGCAUUAGACCCAUGUGGGCAAUCCGGACUACUCUCCCCAUCUUGAGCUCUUGUACUUUAUCACAUCUGCAAAACCCCUUUGGACUAUAUAAGGACACAUUUGCAGCUUCCAAGGAUGAGGAUGUAGACAUGCCAGAGGCCCUUGUUCCACCCUCCCAGGUUCCUGGGUCUUUAUUUACCUCUUCAGCAAGCUGGUGCUGCACUCCGGCCAGGCCCAGGCACUGUUUGCGUGAGCUGCUAGCAGCUAGGCCUGUUGACUUGAGUGCCUGCAGGUUCACUGGCUUCUGGAAGCUAUAGGUUACAUACUGGGAUAUCUGUCUUGGUUUUUAGAGAAAAGCAGUUUUCUUGUGAAACUGAAGAGGCUGUUUGCUAACUCGAACCCCUAGGCUGUACAAGGAAAGACUUGAGAGAUUUCCUUUCUGAUGCCUCCCCAAGGUUUGGAUUCCAGGUUUCUACACGUGUUCUUUCCUCUGACCCCAGACUUCAGCCUGGAGUGAAGCAGGCACAUACAUGGCUUACAGGUUCCCUAAAAGCAUUCCCAGCCCAGACAAGGGCAGCUGGCACCUUGUUUGACUCCCCGCUUUGAGCCUAGCCCAUACCUAUUGCCAAUGCUUAUCUAAUGCCAGGCCCCUCCUGAGCACCCUGGAGACAUGAUUGACACAAAUACUUACCGCAGCCCACAGGUAGGUACUAUUAUUAUCUCACCAAUGGGGCCUUGGGCAUUGUUAACCUUGCCUAAGUCUCACAGCUGGAGAAGAAGGGUCAAGAGUUGAACACAGUCUGAGGACUGAGUUCUUGCUUAUAACCACUAACCCACGCCUGGCCUCCCCAACAGCAGUUCUCCAUGAAAUCUAUCGAAAGAAGGACUGGGAAGCUGUUGGCAUCUAGAACUGCACAUUGAGGGACCUAUGCACUCAAGUGUCUUGAGUGAGUGACCCCUUCAUGACAGACAGGUGGAAGGAGCCCCUGGGACUGUAGGGUAGGCAUACUCCAUGGCCUUAGGGAGGGGCGGAGCCCCAGGGACCCUGUGAAAAGGUCAUAUACAUUUACUGAAAUGUGUCCCCAAUCUGUGGGCACUACACAAGUAGAGAAUAGUUGUCUUCUGUGCCUGCCGUAGAUCUUGGAAUGGCCCAGUCCCUGCUCAGAGCAGACGCUUAGUUGAUAAAUUCUGACUUCAUGCAAUCCCUUAGAGAUAUACUGAAUAUACAUUUUGAUCAAAUCCUGAACAGUCAAAUGUUGAAAGGCAAUAAUCAACCAAAAGCCAAGGUCAGAGCAGACUAUGACCAUCAUGGAUGAAAUUUUGCAUUAUCUUAGUUUACUUCCCCCAGAGAGCAGGCCCAUGGCAGAGUCAUGUUUUGAAAUACCAUGGGACAGUUCUUCAAUAUGUGAAUUUUGAGAGGACACAAUCUAGCCCAUAACAGAGAGAACCCAAGAAGGAAGGCACAGGUUUUUAUAUCUAUAAUCCAAUCUUGGGAAUGACAUCCAUCGCUUUUGUGCGAUUCCGUUCUUUACAAGUGAGGCACUAGGUCCCAUCCCCACUCAAGGGAAUAACGUCACCUGUUGCAGAGAUGGAUAGCAAAGAAUUUGUGGGUCUAUUUUUAAAUACACCACAGAGGGAGAGCCAAGAAUAGGAUGCAUUACACAGCUGGUCCCAGACAAGGAUGACUGGCUGGGGUUCCUGCGGGGCCAUUCCCUGAGCAAUAUGUAGCCUACGUCUCAGGGUUCUCUCAGUCAAGGAAAAGGGGAAGAACUUAUCAGGGGGAACUAUCUUAGACUGCACAAGCUGGGCAUCCAGCCAGGCCCCUGGAGUCCACAGAGAAUCCUGGGCAGAAGGAGGUGAGAGGGAAUGGAGUGGGCUGGGACUGGGUCGUGCCUCCCUGAAGAACACCAGUGGCCACAGCAACACAGGAAUAAGACGGUAGAGGCCUGUGGGGGCUGCAGCUCAGAUUACAGCCAUGGUUGACUUGCUAUUGCAAUUUCUCAUGAACAGUAUCAGUGGUUGCACCUCAAGUUUCUGACGUGAGUGCUGGCCCAGGAAUGUCACAGCAGGCACCGCUGCAGAGGUGGCAAUGGUGACCAUCUGACUCCCUUUCAGCAGGAAGUGGAGCAGGCAAGGAAGGUACCUCCUGGCCAGCCACGCUGAGGAGGGGCCGCUGGCCCAGGUGCUGCUGACACUUGAGGGAUCAGUUCCUCCUGUCUGGUGGGGCUGACUGAAGCGAGGUUGCCGCCGGCUCAGGGCUAAGACAGACUUUCGUAAAGUCUGGCUCUUCCUGUUGGAGUCACCAGAAACUCACCAGUUCGUUGAUACCCUCUACACGCUCUUAAUUUGGUUCCAGUUUUGUACAGGAGCACUUCAAAGUUCGUUGAAACUGGAAUUAAAAGAGAAGUUGAUUGAUUUUGAUGCAAAUUUUUUUGAAAUCCAUGUAUAUGUGGGAUCUUUAAGAAGUUCAUGGAAAUGUGUAGUAUGAAAUACUAUUUAAAUAACAUUGAAGUGUGCAUGGUUUUUCCAUAAUGUACAUUUUUUAAAAUUCUUGAAGAUCCCUCAUGUGCAUGGAGUGUGAUAUUUUUGCACAAAAUAAACUUUUAAUUCCAUUGUCCUUGAACUUUUGAAGUACCCAGGGACAUUCUUCAAAAAAAAAAAAAAAUUCUUUAUUUAUUGGAAAGGCAGAAGCAGAGAGAGAUCUUCCAUCCAUUGGUUCACUCCCCAACUGGCUGCAGCUGCCAGGGCAGGGCCAGGCCAAACCAGGAGCCUGGAGGUGCAUCCAUGUCUCCCACAUGGGUGCAAGGGCCCAAACCCUUGGGCCAUCUACCAUGGCUUUCCCAGGUGCAGUAGCAGGGAGCUGGAUCAGAAGUGGAAAGCCAGGACUUGAACCAGUACCCAUAUGGGAUGCUGGCACUGCAGUUGGUGGCUUUACCUGCUACGCCACAGCGCCGACCUCACCAGGUAUGUUAUUUUGUCUAGAUUAAAGAGAGUUUAUCAUAGCCAUUGUUCAACAUCAUUUUGGAGUUUUUUCUUCUCCUUUGAGGAGGCAAAGAUGACAUUUUAGAUUUUUAAGAUUUAUUCAUUUGAAAGGCAGAAUGGCAGAGAGAGGGAGAAAUCUUCAUCUGCCUUUUACUCCCAGUUACCUACAAUAGCCAGGGCUAGGCUGAAGCCAGGAGCUCUAUCCAGGUAUCGCACAUGGGUGGCAGGAACCCUGAUUGGCUACCUUCACAGGUGCAUUAUCAGGAAACCGGAUAGAAAGUGCAAGCCAGGAUUUGAACCAACACUCAGAUAUGGGAUGGGGGCAUCCAAGCAACAGUUUAAUGAGCUGCACCACAAUGCCCAGCCCUGCAUUUUAAUUUUUAAAAAAAAAUCCCCUCACAAGAGGUAAAGCAGGGGCCAGCCUUGUGAUGCAGUGGGUUAAGGGCCACCUGAGGCACCGACAUCCCAUAUCGGAGCAUUGAUUCCAAUCUCAGAUGCUCAAGUUCCAAUAUAGCUCCUUGCUAAUGCAUCUAGGAUAGCAUCAGAGGAUAUAUCAAGUGUGUGGGCUCCUGCCACCCAUACGGAGACCCAUAUGGAGUUCCAGGCUCCUGGCCUAAGCCUGACCCGGCCUCUGCUGCUCUGGCUAUUUGAGGAAUGAACCAGCAGAUGGAAGAUCUCUCUCUCUCUCUCUCUCUCUCUCUCUCUCU